rnacentral:rRNA from 1 species
GAUGAACGCUAGCUACAGGCUUAACACAUGCAAGUCGAGGGGAAACGACAUCGAAAGCUUGCUUUUGAUGGGCGUCGACCGGCGCACGGGUGAGUAACGCGUAUCCAACCUGCCCACCACUUGGGGAUAACCUUGCGAAAGUAAGACUAAUACCCGAUGAUAUCCCUAGAAGACAUCUGAAAGGGAUUAAAGAUUUAUCGGUGAUGGAUGGGGAUGCGUCUGAUUAGCUUGUUGGCGGGGUAACGGCCCACCAAGGCAACGAUCAGUAGGGGUUCUGAGAGGAAGGUCCCCCACAUUGGAACUGAGACACGGUCCAAACUCCUACGGGAGGCAGCAGUGAGGAAUAUUGGUCAAUGGGCGAGAGCCUGAACCAGCCAAGUAGCGUGCAGGACGACGGCCCUAUGGGUUGUAAACUGCUUUUAUAAGGGAAUAAAGUGAGUCUCGUGAGACUUUUUGCAUGUACCUUAUGAAUAAGGACCGGCUAAUUCCGUG